rnacentral:rRNA from 1 species
UACGUAGGGUGCAAGCGUUGUCCGGAAUUAUUGGGCGUAAAGAGCUCGUAGGCGGUUUGUCGCGUCUACUGUGAAAACCCGAGGCUCAACCUCGGGCCUGCAGUGGGUACGGGCAGACUAGAGUGCGGUAGGGGAGAUUGGAAUUCCUGGUGUAGCGGUGGAAUGCGCAGAUAUCAGGAGGAACACCAAUGGCGAAGGCAGUGUCCUGGGGAGUACCUGACGCUCAGGUGCGAAAGCCAGGGGAGCGAACGGG